AGAAGUUGCAGAAGUCCACAGCCCAAAUGAUCCCCUUGAGAGUCCAAGAUGCUCCCAUUGAUGGGCCAGUGAGAAUUUUCUGGAGUUACAGCCCAAGAUGACCAAGGCUCCAAUUGCCACCAGACUGCUCUAUCACCCUGACUGCCUGAGGUCAUCAUCCCAAGUCUAUGUCUCAGGCACUGGCUGAGCCCUGGAGUUACUACAAUGAACCAGAUGUGGUCAAAACCUUCAAUAAGUCCACCAGGCAAUCAGAACAUCUCAUCACAGUUCAAGAUGGUGAGAAACAGGAAGUUCGCCAUGGGACAUGGUGCCAAGGGAGACCAGGAGAGAAUGACUCCUUUACCCUGGGAGAAGGCAAGCUCCCAGAGGGCAGGGACUGCUGUCAACUUGGGCCACAGCUGUUUCCCCAGUGCUUAGGAGAGUACCGGAACAGAGGAUGGCUCCACAAAUAAAGAAUCAGCAGGAGAUGGAUUCAUUUGUCUCAAGGCCCUCUAGGAGGUGGUGCAGUAAUAGGACAAUCAUCUUUACACUGAGAGGUUCCAGACCAGAGCAAAUGAUGAGAGGGGGCUGAGUGUGACCCCCUCCUCCACCCAGGGCAGCACGAUUUGCAUUCAUUUUAUCGCUUUGAACUCCCAUAUAAGAUUGCCUCUAGGGCUUCCCUGGUGGCACAGUGGUUAUGAAUCUGCCUGCCAAUGCAGGGGACACGGGUUCGAGCCCUCGUUCAGGAAGA